GCAGAGGGCCGGAUGGCCGCUCUACCCUUCGGGGUGGGGAGGAAAGUCCGGGCUCCACGGAAACACGGUGCCGGGUAACGCCCGGCGGGGGCGACCCCAGGGAUAGCGCCACAGAAAGCAAACCGCCCGGCCAGGCUCUGGCCGCGCCGGGUAAGGGUGAAAGGGUGCGGUAAGAGCGCACCGCGCCUUCUGGCAACAGAGGCGGCACGGCAAGCCCCACCGGGAGCAAGACCAAAUAGGGAUGGCGCUUGGGUCGUUUCCGGCCUGCCGUCCGGGUCGGUCGCGCGAGGCGCCGGGUGACCGGCGUCCCAGAGGAAUGGUCAUCCCCUCGCAUCCUUGCGGGGGACAGAACCCGGCUUACAGGCUCUCUGCCGCC
rnacentral:RNase_P_RNA from 1 species